UUGGAGGGCAAGUCUGGUGCCAGCAGCCGCGGUAAUUCCAGCCCCAAUAGCGUAUAUUAAAGUUGUUGCAGUUAAAAAGCUCGUAGUUGAAUUUCGGGGUUCUACCGUUGGUCGGGCUAACCAGUCUGUACUAGCGUGUAAAAUUCCUACCUUCUGGAGAACCAUCAUGUUAUUAAUUUAGCGUGGUGGGAAACCAGGGCCUUUACCUUGAAAAAAUUAGAGUGUUCAAAGCAGGCUUACGUCUGAAUACAUUAGCAUGGAAUAAUAGAAUAGGACGGUGGUCCUGUUUUGUUGGUUUCUGAAUCACCGUAAUGAUUAAUAGGGAUAGUUGGGGGCAUUAGUAUUCAAUUGUCAGAGGUGAAAUUCUUGGAUUUAUUGAAGACUAACUUCUGCGAAAGCAUUUGCCAAGGAUGUUUUCAUUAAUCAAGAACGAAAGUUAGGGGAUCGAAGAUGAUCAGAUACCGUCGUAGUCUUAACCAUAAACUAUGCCGACUAGGGAUCGGACGAUGUUAAAUUUUAUUGACUCGUUCGGCACCUUACGGGAAAC
rnacentral:rRNA from 1 species